GGAAUCUGGACAUCCGAAGCCAAGACCAUAGACAGGGUCGAAUGCCCAGGAUCUCUUAUUUUGGGAGCUCCAAUAUCUCUGGCUGACCAGUGCACUCCAUAAAACUGUCCUGAGAGCCAGCUGGAAAAAGAACCGAGAAAUGAAGUCUGUCUGCCCCCUUCUCUAUCCUUCAUUCUGAAGAUGAGGAAACCAAGGGAAUUGUUGAAAGUCACACGGGCAGCCAGAGGCAGAGCCAGGAUUAGAAUCCCUUGUUCUCACCUCAUUCAAUUCAUACAAGAACUAAUAUCAAUUAGGUGAUGCACAGAACGCACUUUGCAUAGUUUCCGGCAGAGGAAAACACUCAAUAAAUACUGGUUGUUUUUUGUUGUA